CCUACGGGUGGCUGCAGUGGGGAAUAUUGCGCAAUGGACGAAAGUCUGACGCAGCAACGCCGCGUGAGUGAAGAAGGCCUUAGGGUUGUAAAGCUCUGUCGAGAGGGAAGAAAACAUUCUAGGUUAAUACCCUAGAGUAUUGACGGUACCUCUAGAGGAAGCACCGGCUAACUCUGUGCCAGCAGCCGCGGUAAUACAGAGGGUGCAAGCGUUGUUCGGAAUUAUUGGGCGUAAAGGGUGGGUAGGUUGUCUCGUUUGUCAGAGGUGAAAUCCCU
rnacentral:rRNA from 1 species